ACACUUAUCUGGCAGGGGUGAUGCGAUGAUCAUGAUGGUGGUUUUCCCAGGAUUAAGCUUAUCAAUUGCACUCUGGAUGUGCUGACUCCUGCAGUUUCCCUAAAUGAGGAAAACACAAUUUCAUAUCGUGUGGUAGUGAGGACUGCUUUGCAUUCUCCCCU
ensembl:snRNA U1 U1 spliceosomal RNA